rnacentral:rRNA from 1 species
GACGAACGCUGGCGGCGUGCCUAAUACAUGCAAGUCGAACGAACCGCGACUAAGUGCUUGCACUAAGUCAAGGUGAGUGGCGAACGGGUGAGUAACACGUGGGUAACCUACCUCAUAGUGGGGGAUGACAGUCGGAAACGACUGCUAAUACCGCAUAGGACAUAGGAUCACAUGAUCCAGUGAGGAAAGGUGGCGCAAGCUAUCGCUAAGAGAUGGACCCGCGGUGCAUUAGCUAGUUGGUAGGGUAAAGGCCUACCAAGGCGAUGAUGCAUAGCCGACCUGAGAGGGUGAUCGGCCACAUUGGGACUGAGACACGGCCCAAACUCCUACGGGAGGCAGCAGUAGGGAAUCUUCCGCAAUGGACGCAAGUCUGACGGAGCAACGCCGCGUGAGUGAAGAAGGUCUUCGGAUCGUAAAGCUCUGUUGUUAGAGAAGAACAGCGCAUAGAGUAACUGCUAUGCGUGUGACGGUAUCUAACCAGAAAGCCACGGCUAACUACGUG